rnacentral:rRNA from 1 species
AACGUAGGACGCAAGCGUUAUCCGGAGUUACUGGGCGUAAAGCGCGGGCAGGCGGUUCUGCCAGUCUGAUGUGAAAUCUCCCCGCUCAACGGGGAGCAGCCAUUGGAAACUACAGAACUGGAGUCUGACAGAGGUAGGCGGAAUUCCGGGUGGAGUGGUGAGAUGCGUAGAGAUCCGGAGGAACACCAGAGGCGAAGGCGGCCUACUGGGUCAGUACUGACGCUGAGCCGCGAAAGCCAGGGGAGCGAACGGG